rnacentral:lncRNA from 1 species
AGCCCUAAUAUGCGGAUGUCACCCAUUACAGAUGCUCAAUUUUCUCCUUAUGUGGAUAAGAUGGCUUUCUCUCCUACUUCAUCCCCCGGAUACAGCCCGUCAUCCCCUGGUUACAGCCCGUCGUCCCCUGGUUACAGCCCGACCUCUCCAGGUUACAGCCCCACAUCCCCAGGUUACAGCCCCACGUCCCCGGGGUACAGCCCCACUUCCCCCACUUAUAGCCCCAGCUCUCCUGGCUACAGCCCGACAAGUCCGGCAUAUUCCCCAACCAGUCCAUCGUACUCUCCCACAUCACCCAGUUAUAGUCCAACAUCUCCGAGCUAUAGCCCUACAUCUCCUAGUUAUAGCCCAACAUCGCCUAGCUAUAGCCCUACUUCUCCUGCAUACAGCCCCACUUCGCCUGCCUACAGCCCCACUUCGCCUGCCUACAGCCCCACUUCUCCAUCUUACAGCCCCACUUCGCCAUCUUACAGCCCCACCUCACCUUCUUACAGCCCCACCUCGCCUUCAUAUAGCCCCACCUCACCAAGUUAUAGUCCAACUUCUCCAUCAUAUAGUCCCACUUCUCCUGCAUACAGUCCUACCUCCCCUGGUUACAGCCCAACAUCUCCCAGUUACAGCCCAACAUCACCAUCAUAUAGUCCUACAUCACCAAGUUACAAUCCCUCGGCUAGAUACAGCCCCUCCCUUGCAUAUUCGCCAACCAGUCCAAAGCUGUCUCCUUCUAGUCCAUACAGCCCGUCAUCUCCAAGUUACAG